AGAGUUUGAUCCUGGCUCAGGAUUAACGCUGGCGGCGUGCAUGAAACAUGCAAGUCGAGCGCGGCGCGUGGUGGGGUAACCCGCCUAGCGUCUAGCGGCGAACGGGUGAGUAACACGUGAGCAACCUACCUUCGAGUUCGGGAUAGCCCUGAGAAAUCAGGAUUAAUACCGGAUGUGGCCAGGUCAGGGCAUCUUGACCUGUACAAAGGCGCAAGCCGCUCGAUGAUGGGCUCGCGGCUUAUUAGCUUGUUGGUGGGGUAACGGCCUACCAAGGCUCUGAUGAGUAGCUGGUCUGAGAGGACGAUCAGCCACACUGGGACUGAGACACGGCCCAGACUCCUACGGGAGGCAGCAGUUAGGAAUUUUCCGCAAUGGGCGAAAGCCUGACGGAGCAACGCCGCGUGGAUGAUGAAGACCCUUGGGUUGUAAAGUCCUGUCGGAGGGGAAGAAGAUCUGACGGUACCCUCCAAGAAAGCCCCGGCUAACUACGUGCCAGCAGCCGCGGUAAUACGUAGGGGGCAAGCGUUAUCCGGAUUUACUGGGCGUAAAGCGCGUUAAGGCGGCCGGCAAAGUUGGGGGUGAAAUUUCAGGGCUCAACCCUGAAACUGCCUCCAAUACUGGUCGGCUAGAGUGCGAGAGAGGAAGGUGGAAUUCCCGGUGUAGUAGUGAAAUGCGUAGAUAUCGGGAGGAACACCAGUGGCGAAGGCGGCCUUCUGGCUCGCGACUGACGCUGUAGCGCGAAAGCGUGGGUAGCGAACGGGAUUAGAUACCCCAGUAGUCC
rnacentral:rRNA from 1 species